rnacentral:rRNA from 1 species
AGCGGCGAAAGGGUGCGUAACACGUAAUCAAUCUACCCUUGAGACUGGGAUAGCCACUGGAAACGGUGGGUAAUACCAGAUGGUCCACUGGGAGGCAUCUCCUGGCUGGUAAACGGUGGCGCAAGCUGCUGCUCGAGGAGGAGGUUGCGGGCUAUCAGCUAGUUGGUGGGGUAACGGCUCACCAAGGCGAUGACGGCUACCGGGUCUGAGAGGACGGUCCGGCACACUGGGACUGAGAACUGCCCAGACUCCUACGGGAGGCUGCAGUCGUGAAUCUUCCGCAAUGGGCGAAAGCCUGACGGAGCGACACCGCGUGUAGGAUGAAGGCCUUCGGGUUGUAAACUACUGUCACGUUCUAGGAACUGCUCGGCGUGAAUAGCGCCGAGCUCGACCAAGACGGGAGGAAGCACCGGCUAACUCUGUGCCAGCAGCCGCGGUAAGACAGAGGGUGCAAACGUUGUUCGGAAUUACUGGGCAUAAAGCGCACGUAGGUGGUUCGUUAAGUCGCGUGUGAAAUCCCCCGGCUCAACCGGGGAAUUGCGCGCGAUACUGGCGGGCUUGAGAUCGGGAGGGGUGAGCGGAACUCCAGGUGGAGCGGUGAAAUGCGUAGAUAUCUGGAGGAACACCGGUGGCGAAAGCGGCUCACUGGCCCGACACUGACGCUGAGGUGCGAAAGCUAGGGUAGCAAACGGGAUUAGAUACCCCGGUAGUCCUAGCCGUAAACGAUGGGUACUGGGCAGG